rnacentral:rRNA from 1 species
AGUGAACGCUGGCGGUAGGCCUAACACAUGCAAGUCGAACGGCAGCACAGUAAGAGCUUGCUCUUACGGGUGGCGAGUGGCGGACGGGUGAGGAAUACAUCGGAAUCUACUUUUUCGUGGGGGAUAACGUAGGGAAACUUACGCUAAUACCGCAUACGACCUACGGGUGAAAGCAGGGGAUCUUCGGACCUUGCGCGAUUGAAUGAGCCGAUGUCGGAUUAGCUAGUUGGCGGGGUAAAGGCCCACCAAGGCGACGAUCCGUAGCUGGUCUGAGAGGAUGAUCAGCCACACUGGAACUGAGACACGGUCCGGACUCCUACGGGAGGCAGCAGUGGGGAAUAUUGGACAAUGGGCGCAGGCCUGAUCCAGCCAUACCGCGUGGGUGAAGAAGGCCUUCGGGUUGUAAAGCCCUUUUGUUGGGAAAGAAAAGCAGCAGGUUAAUACCCCGCUGUUCUGACGGUACCCAAAGAAUAAGCACCGGCUAACUUCGUG